rnacentral:rRNA from 1 species
UACGUAGGGUGCAAGCGUUGUCCGGAAUUAUUGGGCGUAAAGGGCUCGUAGGCGGUCUGUUGCGUCGGGAGUGAAAACCCAGGGCUCAACCCUGGGCCUGCAUUCGAUACGGGCAAACUAGAGUAUGGCAGGGGAGACUGGAAUUCCUGGUGUAGCGGUGAAAUGCGCAGAUAUCAGGAGGAACACCGGUGGCGAAGGCGGGUCUCUGGGCCAAAACUGACGCUGAGGAGCGAAAGCGUGGGGAGCGAACAGG